UCCUACGGGAGGCAGCAGUAGGGAAUAUUGGGCAAUGGCCGAGAGGCUGACCCAGCCAUGCCGCGUGCAGGAAGAAGGCCUUCUGGGUUGUAAACUGCUUUUACCAAGGAAGAAAACGCCCCUGCGGGGGUAACUGACGGUACUUGGUGAAUAAGCACCGGCUAACUCCGUGCCAGCAGCCGCGGUAAUACGGAGGGUGCAAGCGUUGUCCGGAUUUAUUGGGUUUAAAGGGUGCGUAGGCGGCCCGCUAAGUCUGUGGUGAAAUCCCGGGGCUCAACCCCGGAACUGCCCUGGAUACUGGCGGGCUUGAGUUCGGUUAAGGCGGGCGGAACUGGUGGUGUAGCGGUGAAAUGCAUAGAUACCACCAAGAACCCCGAUUGCGUAGGCAGCUCGCUGAGCCGAAACUGACGCUGAGGCACGAAAGCGUGGGGAGCGAACAGGAUUAGAUACCCUGGUAGUCCACGCCGUAAACGAUGAGUACUCGAUGUUGGCGAUACACUGUCAGCGUCCAAGCGAAAGCGUUAAGUACUCCACCUGGGGAGUACGCCCGCAAGGGUGAAACUCAAAGGAAAUUGACGGA
rnacentral:rRNA from 1 species